rnacentral:lncRNA from 1 species
UUGUUUCGUCGGUUGCUUGACUUAACGAUAUCUAAUCUAAGGUCCUUUUCUUUUCAAAGGUUUUGACCAAACUUUACACUAUUCAUUUUGCCCAAUAAUUUAUUUAUUUUACCCUUUUCAUUAUUUAAAAAUAUUUCUAUGACUUUUCGAAAAGAAGCCAAAUGAAUCACACCUCUUUUUUUGUGAAUCCAUUUGCUUGAACAUAGAAUAUCAUUUUCCUCCACACCACAUUUGCCACAUAAGAGAGAGAUUCACUUCCUUUUGCCACAACUCUACAUUAUUUUGUCUCUGCAUUUUUGUUUUUUUCCGUUGUUUGUUUUGUUCAAACCUAGACCUAAAGUCAUUUCUUAAUUUAUUUUUUUUGUUCAUUAGCAUGCGAUUCUUGAUAAAAUAAAUAUAAAAUUAAUACUAUUGAGUGUGAUAAUAACAAAAGAAAUAAUACUGGUAUAUUUUUAAACAAGUGUUGUUUUUGACCCAAAAAUAAAAUAACAUAAAAUAAGGGUAAAUGGUUGUUUGAGUGUACUCAUAUGAAAUAGAAAGAAAAAAAAAAUUAUUGAUGUGAUUAAAUUAUUUUUAUUUUUAUUUUUUUAUUUAAUGUAAAUGUACCUAAAUAUCUUUUAUUUGAAGUUGUGAAAAUAGAAGAUUUGCUAGCAAGCUUAUAUUAUAUAAGGCUUUUGACCAAUUCAUGAAACAUAGUUCUUUUUUGGGUCGCUUAUUAUUUCUUUAGAUAAUGUUAUUUUAUUUUUGGCAAGAUAAUGUUUUUUCUUUCUUUCUUUCGAAAUAUAGAUAAGAUUCUUUGAUGAGAACAAGUUUACAUCAAGCUAAGUGACAUCACCUUAAAUACUUUAGAAAAUAAGGAAAUAAUUCCUACCUCACGGGUCUCUAGUUGUCUUACUCUUUGAUUUCUUUGGUUAGUGCCACUAUUUUUUUUGUACAAUCAGUUAAGUUUAUAAUUACUCUCAACGAGAGUUAGUUAUAAACCAAUCAGAGCUAGUUAUCCAAACUAACGAACUUCUCCUCCUAAAACUACUUUGUAAAUCUACAUCUCAUUAAUUUUAAGAAGGGUGUAUGACACACUUUUUCGACAUUUUUUUUAUUUAUUAAAAUUUAUAUGAGUCUCAUCAAAUCGUGUAUCAUUCAUAUAAAAUUGUGGGACUUGUGCGUGAGUUUUGAUUAAUAAAAAAUAUUACAUCCGUUUUAAAUUAGGUUUACUUUUUGAGAAGUAAUGUUCAUUUUAAUGAUAUACUAAUAUGUUUCAUUUACUAAAUUACACUUAUUAAUUAUAGAUAUUUGAAUAGUUAGAAAUUUGGAAUACAAUAAAUAAAUAUAUGUUGGUGGUAAAAAAUAAUAAAUAUUUGCAUUGAUAUCAUUAAAGACACAAAUAAUUCAAGACAAAGAAAUACAGCAAAGAGGACACUUAAUUUGAGAAACGGAGUAAUGUAUUGAAAAGUGUGUUGUUGACCUUCUUAAGGUUUAAAACUUGUUCUUAGAGAGAAUGACUAAUAGUUAAAGUCUAUUUGGAAACACAUGUAAAUUUAAGAACUUGUUCUUACUAUUAUGUAAAAAUGCUCCUUAAAAUAUCAUUUUUCACUCGUUUGAUUCGAAUCAACAUUUACGAUGUAAAUUCUGAUUCAAAUCAAUUUCCUUCUAAAUAUCUUUGUUAUGCAUGAAUCGAAUCAUUUUUUUAAAAAAGGAAAAUGGAUCAAAUCAAUCUACACAAAGAGAAAAAUGAUUCGAAUAAUUUAGAUCCAAAUUUUCUCUGACGUUGAUGAUUCAAAUUAAAAUAAUGGUGAUUCGAAUCAAUAUAUAUAUAUAUAUAUAUAUAUAUAUAUAUAUAUAUAUAUAUAUAUAUAUAUAUAUGUGGGAUCAAUGAUUUGAAUCGGAGUUCAUGGGUAUCAUUAAAACCAUCAUUUAAAUCAAAUGCACAUUUUUAAAUUUAUUUUAGGCGAAACUUGUUUCUAUCCCUCUCAGCUAUAUUUACUUGCCUCUACUCACUUUCUCACUACAUAAUUAUUUUAAAAACACUCUCUCAAGGCUAAUCUCUCUCUCACUUGAUCAAACACUUUUUCAAGGAACAUUUGUAGGAUUUGAGAUUUAGGUUAAUAGGGUGCUAUAGGAUUUUAUAAGAGUUAGUUUUUCUCAAGGAUCUUGAUAGGAAAUCAAGGAUCUAAAGCAAAAGUGGGUGUUUUUCACCUCCAAAGAUAGUUGUGGUCAUUGUUUCUCAAGACAUCAAGGUUGAAGGGAAUUGAAGCAAAUAUCCAUAGCAAAGAAAUUUCUUGGACAAGAAGAUUACAUGAAAGCUUGAGAUUCUAAAACCUUGGAAGAUCCAAUUUCAAGUGGAUUUAAAGAUAUGAGGUUUGGAGUGAUUAUUGAGCAUAUAAGAUUUAGGAUUGGUUGGAUUCGUAAAUUGAAGGAAUCUUUGUAAUUGACUACGAAAUUUCAUUGACAUAACAGUGGAAGACCAUUCAACUUUUUUUACGAAGAGUGAAGGUACCCCAUAGCGAGGACGAUUGGGGAAACCACUAUAAACACAAGUGUUUCCUUCUCCUUUUCUCUUUAAUUUUUGCAAUUUACCGUUUGAUAUAUGAUAUUUAUUGAUUAGGUUAAUUAGUGAACAACUGUAAUUCAAUCACUUCUUUGUCUAUAAUUUCAUCUUAGAUAAGAUUGUGUUUUAUUUAUUAGUAUAUUAUUUGUUUAAGUUUAGGUUUGAUUUGAGUCUGACUUUGGUUUUGUAAUUGUUUUGUGUAUUAAGUUUGAUUGAUCUAUGAUAAUUUAAUUGUGAAUCUCUUGCUCAACAUUGAAU